AUGUCUUGUCCUUUCCUAUGUACAGAGCCAGGUCUGACGUGCCAGAGGAAGUGGCUUAUUACCCAUUUGGAAAGCAAUAUUUUCACAGCCUCGCUAACACUGCUUUGAUUUGGUUAUCAAAACUUAACUACUGGAAAUGGAAAACCAUGAAUAGUUCCAUUAGGACAAAUCUCCAUUAGGAAAAGCCCCAGGAGGUACUUUCAGAUGAGAAGUUCAGUGCCGUGGACUGAAAUCAUCUGGGAUGGAGUCUGGAAUGACUAGAAGGGACAGCCUGGAAAACAGCACAUGAAAAUGUACAAUUUGCAACAGUGCGUGUUUCAAGAGACUCAAUACCAGCUACCCUAAGUCUGGAGAAGCAAAUCCAUAGUGGAUGCCCUUCCGUAGUUUAUGGUCUAGAAGAGCACUCCCUUGUUUAACUGGAACUGAAUGUUCUGACCUCUGUAUCAUUGGCAUUGAGUUCAUCUGCUAUGUAGUUGUCCAUAAAGGGAGAGAGCUUUGCUGGGAAGAGCUGGGCUGUGGACGUAGCACUGGGCCUUAGCCAGGACCCUGUUGAGAUCCAGGAGCUCCACUGGAGGAGUUCGUAUCACACAACACUGGCUUUAAGACGUAUCUGUCAUACAGCACUAAGGAGAGAGCAGCCUGAAUUGAGCAAGAAGGAAGCUGUGGGUUUCUAUUGCGGUUCUGAGACUCAGCGUGCAGGAAGGAAGACUGUGCUAGGCCCGGCCGUCUCUUCCUGCCUCGGCCGGUCGGUUCCUCAGUCACUUUCUCCCGGGGCCCAGACCUUGCAGUUCCUGUUCUGUUUAGGGUUUGCUUAAUCACACACGGCAAGCCAUACGAUUCUCUCUUGUGACCUACUGGGAUCUACAGUAUAUUUAAUUUCCAUGUUUGGACACCAACUCUUGCACUCACUUCAUUCCAUUAGCCUUUGCGUUACGAAGAGAAAGACAGAGGCCGUUUUACACCAGCAGCUUUGUGGUGUCAGCUAUGAGACGUCAGCCUCGCACAGCUUGCCCUGCAGAAUAGCCCUGUACUGAAUAUAGGUUGUAUGAGUUAUAUAUAAUAGUACCCAGAUUUUGUUUUAAGAAAUCAUAUACAUAUGUGUGUGUGUAUACACACACGUGUAUGCAUAGACACAGGCUCAAAAGUAUCCAUUUCUCUCAUAAAUACAAAUUGGAAAAACAAA
rnacentral:lncRNA from 1 species